CCUACGGGAGGCUGCAGUGAGGAAUAUUGGUCAAUGGGCGCGAGCCUGAACCAGCCAAGUAGCGUGAAGGAUGACUGCCCUACGGGUUGUAAACUUCUUUUAUAAAGGAAUAAAGUGAGGCACGUGUGCCUGUUUGUAUGUACUUUAUGAAUAAGGAUCGGCCAACUCCGUGCCAGCAGCCGCGGUAAUACGGAGGAUCCGAGCGUUAUCCGGAUUUAUUGGGUUUAAAGGGAGCGUAGAUGGGUUGUUAAGUCAGUUGUGAAAGUUUGCGGCUCAAACGUAAAAUUGCAAUUGAUACUGGCAGCCUUGAGUACAGUUGAAGUAGGCGGAAUGCGUGGUGUAGCGGUGAAAUGCUUAGAUAUCACGAAGAACUCCGAUUGCGAAGGCAGCUUACUAACCUGCCACUGACAUUGAUGCUCGAAAGUGUGGGUAUCGAACAGGAUUAGAUACCCGAGUAGUC
rnacentral:rRNA from 1 species